rnacentral:lncRNA from 1 species
AUGGAGUCUCACUUGGUCACCCAGGCUGGAGUGCAGUGGCGCGAUCUCGGCUCACUGCAACUUCCACCUCCCGGGUUCAAGCGAUUCUUCUGCCUCAGCCUCCCAAGUAGCUGGGAUUACAGGCGCCCGCCACCAUAGCCGGAUAAUUUUUGUAUUUUCAGUAGAGAUGGGGUUUUGCCAUGUUGGCCAGGCUGGUCUCGAACUCCUGACCUCAGGUGAUCCACCCACUUCACCUUGCCAAAGUGCUGGGAUUAUAGGCGUGAGCCACCGUGCCCGGGCAGAAUUUUAUUUACUAUACCACUUAUACGGUUUCAUGCUUGGAAAAUUUCUUAACCUUUUGAGUCUCAGUUAUCUCAUCUGUACAAAGGGUGUGAUAUUUGCAUCUUGAGAUUGUGAAGAUCAAACAAUGCAAUGGAGCAUCAUAUAUCACCAAGUCUGGAGAGUCAUUAGCUGUGAUAUUAAUCAGGAUGGGAGCAAAAGCAGAAUAAAACCCCAGACCUCAGUAAACCUUGCCGUGUCUCAGGC